rnacentral:rRNA from 1 species
UACGAAGGGGGCUAGCGUUGUUCGGAAUCACUGGGCGUAAAGCGCACGCAGGCGGAUCGUUAAGUCAGGGGUGAAAUCCCGAGGCUCAACCUCGGAACUGCCUUUGAUACUGGCGAUCUUUGAGUCCGGGAGAGGUGAGUGGAACUCCGAGUGUAGAGGUGAAAUUCGUUGAUAUUCGGAAGAACACCAGUGGCGAAGGCGGCUCACUGGCCCGGUACUGACGCUCAGGUGCGAAAGCGUGGGGAGCAAACAGG